rnacentral:rRNA from 1 species
UACGUAGGAGACGAGCGUUGUCCGGAAUCACUGGGCGUAAAGGGCGCGUAGGCGGCAGGCCAAGCGUGCGGUGAAAGUCCGGGGCUCAACCCCGGAUCUGCCGUGCGGACUGGUUUGCUAGAGCACUGUAGAGGCGAGUGGAAUUCCGGGUGUAGCGGUGGAAUGCGUAGAGAUCCGGAAGAACACCGGUGGCGAAGGCGGCUCGCUGGGCAGUGGCUGACGCUGAGGCGCGACAGCGUGGGGAGCAAACAGG